rnacentral:rRNA from 1 species
UACGUAGGGUGCAAGCGUUUGUCCGGAAUUAUUGGGCGUAAAGAGCUUGUAGGCGGUUUGUCGCGUCUGCUGUGAAAUUUCGGGGCUCAACCCCCGAACUUGCAGUGGGUACGGGCAGACUAGAGUGUGGUAGGGGAGACUGGAAUUCCUGGUGUAGCGGUGAAAUGCGCAGAUAUCAGGAGGAACACCGAUGGCGAAGGCAGGUCUCUGGGCCACUACUGACGCUGAGAAGCGAAAGCAUGGGGGAGCGAACAGG